rnacentral:rRNA from 1 species
GACGAAAGCUGGAGGAGUGCGGAACACAUGCAAGGCGAACGAAGUGGCGAACGGGUGAGUAAUACGUGAGUAACUGCCCUCCUUUUUGGGAUAAGCCUGGGAAACGGGGUCUAAUACCGAAUAGAGGGGGAUGGGCUCGCGGCCUAUCAGCUUGUUGGUGGAGUGAUGGCCUACCAAGGCGGUGACGGGUAGCCGGCCUGAGAGGGGACCGGCCACAUGGGGCUGAGAUACGGCCCAGACUCCUACGGGAGGCAGCAGUGGGGGAUAUUGCACAAUGGGCGAAAGCCUGAUGCCGCGACGCCGCGUGGGGGAUGACUGCUUUCGGGUUGUACACCUCUUUCAGCCAUGCCGCGGUAGUAGCCGAAGAAGCACCGGCUAACUACGUACCAGCCGCCGCGGUAAUAC